rnacentral:lncRNA from 1 species
AUGAGGCUUAAAGACUGGUUUCUCCAAAGACCCAUGGAAAAGAACUGUGGCAUAGAUCCAAGGUUAAGGAUAUGCUUUAAGGGCAGAACACACAAACCAACAUCCAAGAGGGAAGCUGCAGCAGAAUUACUGAACCGUGGAAUCAUUGCUCCCUCACCCACCUACUACUUGCUCCCAAAGAGAUUCACAACUAGAGAGAGAAAAGAAAACUAA